rnacentral:rRNA from 1 species
UGCGUCUGAGCGGCUGUCGUGAGCUUGCUCCUUGAUUCAGCGGCGGACGGGUGAGUAAUGCCUAGGAAUCUGCCUGGUAGUGGGGGACAACGUUUCGAAAGGAACGCUAAUACCGCAUACGUCCUACGGGAGAAAGCAGGGGACCUUCGGGCCUUGCGCUAUCAGAUGAGCCUAGGUCGGAUUAGCUAGUUGGUGGGGUAAUGGCUCACCAAGGCGACGAUCCGUAACUGGUCUGAGAGGAUGAUCAGUCACACUGGAACUGAGACACGGUCCAGACUCCUACGGGAGGCAGCAGUGGGGAAUAUUGGACAAUGGGCGAAAGCCUGAUCCAGCCAUGCCGCGUGUGUGAAGAAGGUCUUCGGAUUGUAAAGCACUUUAAGUUGGGAGGAAGGGCAGUAAGUUAAUACCUUGCUGUUUUGACGUUACCGACAGAAUAAGCACCGGCUAACUCUGUGCCAGCAGCCGCGGUAAUACAGAGGGUGCAAGCGUUAAUCGGAAUUACUGGGCGUAAAGCGCGCGUAGGUGGUUUGUUAAGUUGGAUGUGAAAGCCCCGGGCUCAACCUGGGAACUGCAUCCAAAACUGGCAAGCUAGAGUACGGU